rnacentral:lncRNA from 1 species
UUGGGGCUCAUUGUUGUAUAAGACAUUUCAACGAACACUGUAUCCUUGGUCACAACAGAAAGUUUUUGUACCAAAGCAGUUGUUGAUUUAGAUCUCCCGUUUCGAGGAGUUAUUAUGUCAUCAACAGUCCUAAUACCAGUAAUACCUCGAUUAGUGAAUUCGCAGGGAUCUGCAGCGUGAUACUGCUCAGGCAAUUUAUCAAACACAUGGUCUUCUUUCAAGGUUUGAGUUUCAUAGGAAGAUUUAAAUGCAAAUGACGUCUGAAAAUUGCUUGGAACAGUUGUCUGCACCACUGG